rnacentral:tRNA from 1 species
GUGAUUCUAGUAUAAACAAAUACCAGAUUCUUUCAUAUUCUAAUUCCUGUCCUAGGGAAUCAUA